AAUAAAGGUGGAUACAAUGUCCCGGAAAUAGGAUAUUUUAGAUUUAGAGCGAGCGAGAGGUUGGGAUGUCUGCUUCAGAUGUAGCGGUCGUCUGAGAGUUUCGUGUCUCUUUCCAGAUCCCCUAUUGGCCAAUCAUGCUUGAUCGUGGGUGGAGACAGAGGACAUCUUAAGACUCCAGAGAGACUCAACCAGAGAGAAACAAGCUUCCAGAGACUUGACACCAGACAGGCCCAUAAAGACCAAACAGAACAAAAAGAUACCUGAGUUAUGGAGACACAUCAGUGUGAAACCUGUGGGAAGAGCCUUUCCUCAUCCUUUAGCCUCAAGCAGCACAUGAUGAUCCACACUGGAGACAAGCCCUACAGUUGUGACCUCUGUGGCUAUAGUUGUACAAGAAACGGCAGUCUGAAAAGCCACAUGUAUAUCCACUCAGGAGAAAAGCCUUACAGCUGUGACCUCUGUGGUAAAACCUUUAGCAAUUCUGGCCAAUUGACAGUUCACAACAGAAUCCACACUGGAGAGAAGCCCUACAGCUGUGACCUCUGUGGUAAGACCUUUCGAAACUCUUCUAGUUUCAAAGUUCACAGCAGGAUCCACACCGGAGAGAAGCCCUAUAGCUGUGACCUCUGUGGUAAAACCUUUGGCCAUUCUGGCCAAUUGACAGUUCACCGCAGGAAACACACUGGAGACAAGCCCUAUUACUGUGACCUCUGUGGUAAAACCUUUAGACAACCUGGCCAAUUGACAGUUCACAGCAGGAUCCACACUGGAGAGAAGCCCUACAGCUGUGACCUCUGUGGCUAUAGUUGUGCAACCAAUGGCAGUCUGAAAAAACACAUGUAUAUCCACUCCGGAGAAAAGCCUUACAGCUGUGACCUCUGUGGUAAAACCUUUAGGCAAGCUGGGCAUUUCAGAGUUCACAGCAGGAUCCAUACUGGAGAGAAGCCCUACAGCUGUGACAUCUGUGACUAUUCAGGUAAAACAAAUGGCAAUCUGAAGAGUCACCUGCGUAUCCACAAUAAUAAACAAAACAAAGCAGUGAUGUCUGGGGCCAAGCUGUCCCAGCAGUCACCACCUGAGAGAACGUCUGUAUGACCCACAGCUGGAAGAACUACUGGCCUACACCUACUGGGAAAGCACAUCAAGUAACACCAGAUCUACAGUCCGACAGGACACAGGAAAUAUACUCUACCCCUGUAAUGAUGGAGGGGAAGCUGUGUCAGACUGGGUAGAAACCUGGGGCCUGUACUACGAAUCAAGAUUUGGCGUUAGCGAGGUAACUUCAGGUUUAACCCAGGGUUUUCUGUACU